AGUGAACGCUGGCGGCGUGCUUAACACAUGCAAGUCGAACGAGAACGGAAUAUAGCUUGCUAUAUUUGUCAGCUAAGUGGCGCACGGGUGAGUAAUGUAUAGAUAACCUGCCCUUAAGAAAGGAAUAACAGUUGGAAACGACUGCUUAUGCCCUAUAUGCCUUUAAUACAUAAGUAUGCAAGGGAAACGCUUUAGUGCUUAAGGAUGGGUCUGUAUGGUAUCAGCUUGUUGGUGAGGUAAUGGCUCACCAAGGCUAUGACGCCUAACUGGUUUGAGAGGAUGAUCAGUCACACUGGAACUGAGACACGGUCCAGACUCCUACGGGAGGCAGCAGUGGGGAAUAUUGCACAAUGGACGAAAGUCUGAUGCAGCAACGCCGCGUGGAGGAUGACACAUUUCGGUGCGUGAACUCCUUUUAUAUAGGAAGAUAAUGACGGUACUAUAUGAAUAAGCACCGGCUAACUCCGUGCCAGCAGCCGCCGUAA
rnacentral:rRNA from 1 species